UACGUAGGGUGCGAGCGUUAAUCGGAAUUACUGGGCGUAAAGCGUGCGCAGGCGGUGAUGUAAGACAGAUGUGAAAUCCCCGGGCUCAACCUGGGAACUGCAUUUGUGACUGCAUCGCUGGAGUGCGGCAGAGGGGGAUGGAAUUCCGCGUGUAGCAGUGAAAUGCGUAGAUAUGCGGAGGAACACCGAUGGCGAAGGCAAUCCCCUGGGCCUGCACUGGACGCUCAUGCACGAAAGCGUGGGGAGCAACAG
rnacentral:rRNA from 1 species